AACGAACGCUGGCGGCAUGCCUAACACAUGCCAGUCGAACGAGACCUCCGGGUCUAGUGGCGCUCGGGUGCGUAACGCGUGGGAACCUGCCCUUAGGUUCGGAAUAACUCCCCGAAAGGGGUGCUAAUACCGGAUAAUGUCUUCGGACCAAAGAUUUAUCGCCUUUGGAUGGGCCCGCGUUGGAUUAGCUAGUUGGUAGGGUAAAAGCCUACCAAGGCGACGAUCCAUAGCUGGUCUGAGAGGAUGAUCAGCCACACUGGGACUGAGACACGGCCCAGACUCCUACGGGAGGCAGCAGUGGGGAAUAUUGGACAAUGGGCGAAAGCCUGAUCCAGCAAUGCCGCGUGAGUGAUGAAGGCCUUAGGGUUGUAAAGCUCUUUUACCCGGGAUGAUAAUGACAGUACCGGGAGAAUAAGCUCCGGCUAACUCCGUG
rnacentral:rRNA from 1 species